GGACUAGAGAUUCCAAGGUGCACAUCAGGUUUGUCUAUCCAGCCCUGCACGUGACAUAGAUUCAUCUAAGACUGAUGCCACAGAGUCACAGAGAGACAAAACGACCAUUACUAACACGGCGCAAGGAUGGACUCCAGGCCAACCAGCUCCAAAACCUCUGCUAAAUAAUAAACGGACACAAGGUGAAAACUAACUUUGAACCCUCGCAUUUCAACUAAGGAAAUAAUGAGAUAACUAAUACAGAAGCUUUAAGUCAUGCCUGUGAAGAACAGUGCUUAUCACCACCCAGGUCAACGCUUGUGCUGGCCCACCAAGCUGUGGUCAGGAAUCUGCUGCAGAAGAACAAGGGACCAACAAGGGACCAGACGUCCCUGCAGCACCAGCUGCAUUGGGAAGGAGCUGACGCAUGAUGAAUGAGGCAGGGAAAGCCAAGUCUGCAGGCCAGGUGUCAGCUAUCAUACACCCUGCUCCUCUUCCAGCGUAUCACAGUCGCACACUGCCCCGUCCUGCCUUCAACGGCUUCUGAAAGAAAUGCCUACUGCAAAGACCAGUUUAGCUGUUGAGCGGAUUUCACUCUCUUCACCCUGACCGCAGGCAAUAGAUCACAGUCACAAGAUGAACUGGAACGUAACCAAGUGCCCAAGGCCAGCCUUGUGAGCAGCCCUCCCCUGCUGCAGCUCGCACACUGCUGCCAUACAAAGCCCGUGUUAGCCUGGAGCCAGGAUCCACCACCGCCGGCUUCCAGCCACGCUAUCUCCAUCCAGCCAGUUUUAAAUGAAUGCCAAAGUAAAUACAUGAAAUCACACCCGUACGGAUACACAACCGAUCCAAAACAUCUCUAGGCAUUGUUCUUGUUAGAAGUAAAUUAUUGUCAUGCUUUGCGUUCAUUAGCAAGCAUCCUGUCAAUCACACGACACAAAGCUACAGAUAACCGAAAGCUUCAUGAUGAAGGACAGGAAAGAAAACCCCAGACCUCCUCCUUCCCUACGAAAUGAAGGCAGUGACUGCGUUGUCCAAAAGCACAGCAAAGCUUCCCAGACUCGAGCAGGACGAGCUGUAACGUCUCAUACCCCAACAGCAGAGCUGCGACUUUCCUUCCUCUGUGCUCUCAAAGAGCAGACCUACGCCUGCAGCUUAAUUCAACACUUGUUGCCAAGAAACAUUUCUAGUCAGAAAUGCAUACAGGAGCAGUUGUGAUUCAUACACUCUGAAGAUUAGUUACCUCUAAUCCUCAUCGCCAGCCCAAAAGAGAGCAAACUGAAAGGAGAGAGAACGCCAUUUUACAAAACAUUAAAGUUGUAUUUAAAUAG